GACGAACGCUGGCGGCGUGCCUAAUACAUGCAAGUUGAGCGCUGAAGGUUGGUACUUGUACCAACUGGAUGAGCAGCGAACGGGUGAGUAACGCGUGGGGAAUCUGCCUUUGAGCGGGGGACAACAUCUGGAAACGAAUGCUAAUACCGCAUAAAAACUUUAAACACAAGUUUUAAGUUUGAAAGAUGCAAUUGCAUCACUCAAAGAUGAUCCCGCGUUGUAUUAGCUAGUUGGUGAGGUAAAGGCUCACCAAGGCGAUGAUACAUAGCCGACCUGAGAGGGUGAUCGGCCACAUUGGGACUGAGACACGGCCCAAACUCCUACGGGAGGCAGCAGUAGGGAAUCUUCGGCAAUGGACGAAAGUCUGACCGAGCAACGCCGCGUGAGUGAAGAAGGUUUUCCGAUCGUAAAACUCUGUUGGUAGAGAAGAACGUUGGUGAGAGUGGAAAGCUCAUCAAGUGACGGUAACUACCCAGAAAGGGACGGCUAACUACGUG
rnacentral:rRNA from 1 species